rnacentral:rRNA from 1 species
UACGUAGGGGGCUAGCGUUGUCCGGAAUCAUUGGGCGUAAAGAGCGUGUAGGCGGUCCGGUAAGUCCGCUGUGAAAGUCGGGGGCUCAACCCUCGAAUGCCGGUGGAUACUGUCGGGCUAGAGUGCGGAAGAGGCGAGUGGAAUUCCUGGUGUAGCGGUGAAAUGCGCAGAUAUCAGGAGGAACACCUAUUGCGAAGGCAGCUCGCUGGGACGUAACUGACGCUGAGGCGCGAAAGCUAGGGGAGCGAACAGG